GAUGAACGCUAGCGGGAGGCUUAACACAUGCAAGCCGAGGGGUAUUCAGUUGCUUGCAACUGGAGAGACCGGCGCACGGGUGAGUAACGCGUAUGUAACUUGCCUCAGUUCAACGGGAUAGCCCGGGGAAACCCGGAUUAAUAUCGUAUAACAUCGGGACAGGCAUCUGUUUUGAUUGAAAGAUUCAUCGGAAUGAGAUAGACAUGCGUAUGAUUAGCUUGUUGGCGGGGUAACGGCCCACCAAGGCGAUGAUCAUUUAGGGGGUCCUGAGAGGGUGAUCCCCCACACUGGUACUGAGACACGGACCAGACUCCUACGGGAGGCAGCAGUGAGGAAUAUUGGACAAUGGGUGAGAGCCUGAUCCAGCCAUCCCGCGUGCAGGAAGACGGCCUUAUGGGUUGUAAACUGCUUUUAUACAGGAAUAAACCACCUUACGAGUAGGGUGUUGAAGGUACUGUAUGAAUAACGCACCGGCUAACUCCGUGCCAGCAGCC
rnacentral:rRNA from 1 species